AACUUUUGACAAUGGAGCACUUGGUUCUGGCAUCGAUGAAGAACGCAGCGAAAUGCGGUAAGUACUGUGAAUUGCAGAAUUCAGUGAAUCAUCGAAUCUUUGAACGCACAUUGCGCCCGCCAGUAUUCUGGCGGGCAUGCCUGUCCGAGCGUCAUUUCAACCCUCGAACCCCUCCGGGGGUCCGGCGUUGGGGAUCGGGAACCCCUAAGACGGGAUCCCGGCCCCGAAAUACAGUGGCGGUCUCGCCGCAGCCUCUCAUGCGCAGUAGUUUGCACAACUCGCACCGGGAGCGCGGCGCGUCCACGUCCGUAAAACACCCGACUUCUGAAAUGUUGACCUCGGAUCAGGUAGGAAUACCCGCUAAACUUAAGCAUAUCAAUAAGCGGAGGCU
rnacentral:misc_RNA from 1 species